rnacentral:rRNA from 1 species
CCCUUAGAUGGUCUGGGCAGCACGCGCGCUACAAUGGUCUUCGCAAACGGAUGCAUUCUCGAAGGAGAAUGCCAAUCUUGGAAUCUAUGCCUUGGUCGGGACAGUUGCUUGCAAUUUUUCGACUCGAACCAGGAAUUCCUUGUAAUCGUGAUUCAUCACAUCACGAUGAAUACGUCCCUGCCCUUUGUACACACCGCCCGUCGCUCCUACCGAUCGAAGAGUUAGGUGAAUUGUUUUGAUCGAUAAGAUUUGACUAUGGUCAACUCUCGUUGUGAAAUUCUGUGAAUCUGACUGUUUAGAGGAAGGAAAAGUCGUAACA